UAGUUGAUUUACAGUGUUUUGUCAUUUUCUACUGUGACACAGUCAUAUAUAUAUAAUAUAUACUUUUUCUCACAUCAUCCUCCAUCAUGUUCCAGCACAAGUGACUAGAUAUAGUUCCCUGGAAGAAAUUUUACUUCUCUACAGCUUCCCUAACACUUGCAAGCUAAACAAAAAUCAUAACAAUCUAUUUUCUACAACCAGAAAACCAGCUUAUUAAAAAGAACACAGAAUCAUCCAUUCUAGUAAAAUACAAAAUCCAAUCCUACCCAAGGCCUAGAGAAAUAAAAGACGUCCCACACUGAGAGCUCCCUAGGCAGUUGAGGCCAUUUCCUAGGAUUCCAGAAUCUAGGUUACUGCUGACACACCAUGUCACCUUCAUGGGUCAUGCCCCAGGCACUGUAGCAACAGCCCUCUUCCGUUGGUACAGAGCCAUCCCUUACAGGUCAUCACAAACAUUUAUAGAUGCAGACACUUGUGGAGCAAAUACACUCAGCUACCAUGGCUGCCCACCCAAAUGCCUGAGGCUCUGGCCUGACAUUACUUACUUAUGACCAUGUGACCAUCUCACAGAAGGACCCAAUGUUUUAUUAGAAGGUGAUCAUAUUUAUGCAUGAACGGGCAUAGCAUCCCUCCCCCCAUUCAAAAAAGAAUCCUCCCCUUAGAGAAUUCUUUCACAGUCACACAAUUCUUUCACAAUUAUACCUGCUUCAUAGGCAUAGUAACCAACUCAGUCCCCUGGUGGGGUUAGGGGAUGAGAUAAAGGGACAGGAGAAUAGUGCCUGGGACAUCCAAGCUAUGGCCAAUCCUAGCUAAGAAGCAGUUUACUCUGAUUCCCCAGCAAUAGAUGCCCUAGCCUCAGGCAGAACUCCCAAUAUAGACAGAUGUAGAGGUAGCAGAAGGGGCUGACUACAAAGUGGCACAAAGGGAAUGUGGGGAGGGUGUUGGAAAUACUCUGUAUCAUGACUGCAGUGGUACAUAUGUCAGAGUGAAUUUCAUGGCAUCUAAGAACAUGUAAAAACAAAUAACCCACGUCUGGGGUCCACCUACUUCAGACUGCUGCUGGGCAGGGAGGGUGGAAACAGACCUACAGGCAAAGAACAAAACCAACCCGAUCUGAACUCCAACCUCCAGAAUUAACCUGGGAGACUUUUAGCAACAGAUAUCAUCAUUUGACUAGUGAUUCCUCAUUUGUGAAACAAGAGUGGUUAACAAAGCUCAUCCUCAGGAUUGUCCCAAUGAUCAGCAGGCUUACAAAUAGUGCCUGCCAUAUGUGUAGUGCCCAAUGUUGUUCAAUCACAGCUAUUUGGGGGGUGGGGUAUUGGGGAAGACAUUCUGAAAUGAUCCAUCCACCUUGUGUAGGCUGGGAACUGCUGCAAGAGGAGAGUAGCUAUUGGAAAACUGCUGAACAACUAAGCGUUUAUAAAGUGCUUUUCUGAAAGGAAAGCUCAAGUUCAAGAUAAAGAAUGGGUUCUAUGACUUGUGGUUUACAUUUAAGACAGUAAAGUAGCAAGAGUAACAACCUUAAAGCAGUUAUAAAAAAUUUUUGUGGGCUGUACAACCACAUUUCCUGCACUCACAUCAGUUGGGAAGUGGGGCUACUUCCACCUCAGAGGAGGAGGAAAAAUGAUACUCAGCUCUUUAAGAGUGUUUAAUGUACAAGACAGUUCGUGUGUGUGUGUGUAUUUUUUUUUUUUCUGCAUCCACGCAUAUAGAAGUUCCAGGGCCAGGGAUUGGAUCCACACCACAGAAGCAUCUCAAGCCAUGGCAGCGCCAGCGCCAGAUCCUUAACCCUUCUUAACCCACCAUGGAGCUCUAUCAUUAAUCUUUUGAGAAAAUUAACUUACCCUGAUCAAACAAAGCUACUGUGUAGAAUAAUUUUUCAUACUUAAUAUUUCCUAGAGGACCUUGGCCCAAUUUUACAGUUUGGGUUAA
rnacentral:lncRNA from 1 species